rnacentral:lncRNA from 1 species
CGCGCGACCAUUUGCGACUGGCGACCAAACUGCGAGCGACGUUCACACCGGCAAGGAUUCAUGCGAGCGACCGGAAGUCGCAAACCCGGAGAGUCACGUACAGAUCUCGUUAUCAACGAGAACUUGGGCGACCGGCGACGAUCAGCUGAUCAGAUACGGAGCCCGCUGAGCGCGAUGCGUUUGUUUUUGACGGCUGUGUUUGCGUAGCGUUCUCCCGGCAGCAUCAUAGACUUCGAGUCGAGUGAUGAAGAAGAGGUUGUGGCGGUGCUGAUGUGCUCAGCCAACGUGUCAGCACAAAAGCCUUCAAAGCAAGCAAGGCGAUGGUGGGUGAGACCGUCCCUUCGCUCGCGAGAAGUGGCCGUCCACACAGGGCGUCUGCUCUUGCGCUCGCACGACGAGGAGAAUUUCCGAGAUUAGCUUCAUGCGGAUGCCGCCACGAACGUUCGAUGCUGUGCUCGAACUGCUGCGCCCCGCAAUAUCCAAGCAGGACACAAACCACCGGCUUACAAUUUCGGCGCACGACUGCCUGGCCAUGACCAUUAGGUAUGCCAAGGAAGUGCGAGAUAAAUUGGCGCACUACUUCGUCACAGACGGUCAGGUGCCUUGGCAGGACAAAGUGGUGAACAGCACUUGAGGCGUACAAGGUGAAGGUGUCGACACGAGUCUCCUCAGCCGUAUCAGGGGUACGUUCCGGUUCCGCUGCAUGUCUUGGCCGAGGCGGUGAUCUGCAGUGAUUAAAAUUUCUUUCUAUGUAUUUGAUGAUGCCGCUAGUACAUGAAAAGUUUUAGGCAUUCUUUGGGAGUUAAAAUGCCAUUAUGAUUUCGCUCAACACGAAGUUUAUUUUACACUUGCGUUACCUCUUGAUUGAGCACUGCUGUAUGGAAGGUGUGCAUACAGAAGUUUAUUGUGCCUAUUAUGUUAAUAAAAUGCUAUGUAGGCUGCACAUCUAAAUGAGAACAAGAGAUAUUGUCACGGAGAUGAAGUAAAAGUAAUUGCAGCCUGUUGCUGAUGAAUACUUUGCUUUUUCAGAAAUAUUUGACGUUGUAAAAUAACCACAUUCACACAGAAACAAUGCCUGUGCCCUCAUGUAUUUCGGUGUGCUUCUGUUCAGUGUUGAGUGCUGAAUGUAUUGAAAAAAAUGCAGUGGUUUGGGCAAGCUAACGACCUGAACACCACCUUUCAAGCACGCUUGUAUUUUUGAUAAUUUUGCAAAGUACAAUCACCUAGUAAUAAAAAAUAAUGUUUCUAGGUUCAAGUCCAUGCAUGUACAGCUUCAAGUGCAUGCACAUGGUACCGAAAAUUUUUGUGCAUGCUCACCUCUCGUUAGCCUCUUCUGCUGUGAUGUGGCUGCUGCAAGAGAACAUGCAAUAUGUGAUUCUGUCAGUGCUAUUGUGUGCAUCUUUAGAGCAUUUUCACUGUUUUGCUACAAUAUAAGUACUUAUGCUGCAUUCUUGUAAUGAAUAUGUGCAAUGCUUGUCUAUGAACAGCCUCAUGACACAUGCAAUAAGCGAUCUCUUUAGAUUUUUAUAUUUUGUAUUAAGCCUUUCUUUUUUUGGUAAAUGAGAGCCGAGAAUGACACAGAAGUACACUCAAUUCUUUCAUUCUUACUGUUCUGUCUUCAAUAUUCUGUUUUGUGAAGCUGUCCACGUGCCACUUGUACGGUAUGCUAUAUUUUUUGCGUUGUGCUGAUGCAUUGUGCUAUGCUAACCAAAACAUUUCAUUUUCUGUUCAAUGGACGGUAAGCAUUAUUCAUUACCUUUGGUCAAUGGCACUCAUGUUGCACAGUAUCCAGAAAGAAUGAUGCACUGAGUUAUUCUUCGUAGCUGUAGCCACAGUUAUUCGACAUCAAAACAGCCCAUUGCCAUCAUGUUCAUGAUCACAUGCAUGCCCACUGUGAAUUACCUCUUGGGACUUCUAUGUUUAUGUGCAGUGUACUUAUGUGUAUUGAUAUGUGAGUAUUUAUGUGUAUGUAUAACAGUCAUGUGAAUUAAAUCAACUUUUUUUUUGUUUAGUACUCAAUAGUCAGCUAAUAUUGAACUUACGCCACAGGCUCAGACUCUCCUUCCAUUAAUUCAAGCAUGGCCUCAAAAUGGGGCCAUUUUAUUGUUGGAAUGUCGGCUGCUCCGGCUCCACUUCUUUGUUUUUUCACGUAUGUCGUGUUGUUUCUUUUUGAAGAUAUCACGCAGGUUCUUAAAUCGUUUCUCAACAAGGACACCUGAAAACAAAACCCUUGCUGUAAGAAUGUAUUGUGCAUACUGUAUCGCUGAUAAAUUUUCUACUUUAUUUCAGCA